rnacentral:misc_RNA from 1 species
AAGUCGUAACAAGGUUUCCGUAGGUGAACCUGCGGAAGGAUCAUUAUCGAUUCAACCCAAAUGCAAGGGGGGAGUUGCUUGCAGCUGUGCUGGUCUUUCAAACGGAAGGCAUGUGCACGCUCGACGGCUCUUUCUCUUCAUUUACACACCUGUGCACUUGUUGUAGGGUGUCCCGCCAGGGAUGCUCUAUGUCUUUUCAUAUACUCCUUUGUAUGUCAAUAGAAUGUAUAUUUUUGCUCUCGUCAGAGACAAAAAGAAAGCUAUUAUAACUUUCAGCAACGGAUCUCUUGGCUCUC